rnacentral:misc_RNA from 1 species
CCGAUGACGAUGGACAUAGAGCAGAUGCCUGAUACCCCACAGCGAGGGUCCCACCACAGGCGGGCCCAUUCCGACACCUCCUUCCGCUUCGACGACCUCCUCCUCUUCGACCCCUCUGACCUCGACCUCUCUUCUCUCGACCUCCCUACUCCCACACCACAUCGCGGCGCUCCCACGGCCGUCGAUUCUGGCUCCGUAUCCGAUGACUCCGCAUCUCACAGUGGACCAAAUACAAAGCCCAAACCGAUCAAUCACCUACGGAGCUUGUCCGUGGACUCGGAUUUCUUUGAUGGGUUGGGCCUUACGGCUGUCGGUGGAGAUGAGAAGUUUGGCGGGAGAGCGGCGGCGACGGCUGCGGCGGGAGCAGGAGUAGGAGCCGGAGAGAAGAGGGUCCACCACAGGCAUAGCAAUUCGAUGGAUGGAUCUAUGACGUCGUCGUUUGACUUAGAUUCUGUUAUGGUUGAUGAUAUUAAGAAAUCUAUGGGUCCUGAUAGGCUUAAUGAGCUCGCUUUGAUUGAUCCCAAGAGAGCUAAAAGGAUUCUUGCUAACAGGCAAUCUGCAGC